CAUACAUAAGUGAUUCAAUUCAGGGGCAAGCUCGCGGUAUCAAUUGGAAUCCUACUAGGAGUUUAUUGGCUGUAUACUCUCAUGGCACGGCCAUAAAGAUUUGGACCCUUGAGCAAGACCAAAGAAUACAUGAUCUGAUGCAUAAUGAGUGUGUAAAUAUUGUUAGAUGGAGCCCUACUGGCCCAGGUACCAACAACCCUAAUAAGCCAUACUGUUAUCUUGUUAGAAUGGAUAACACAAGGAUGUCAGAAGAUAGUCAAAUGUCAUCAAUGAGAACCCCAACCAAAAGAUCAAGUGGCAAUAAAAGAUGGACCACUGUCGAAAGUCAAUUUUUCAUAAGAUUUAUGGCUUCUCAAGUGGAGCAAGGCUUGAAAGUCGAUAAGGGUUUCAAACCUCAAGCACUCCAUGCAUCAAUCAUUGCAAUGAAGAAUGAGUUCAGAAUUAUAGUCACUGAAGCAAAUGUGAAUAACCACUUGAGAACAAUUCACAAAAGAUGGGCAAGAAUUAAAAAAUUGAAAGAGUUUAAGCGGAAUGGGUUGGGAUAACAGAUUGAAGAUGAUAAUCAUGGGAGAAUCAGAGUUCAAGAACUACAUUAAGAUUCAUCCACAUGAUGAGCCC